rnacentral:rRNA from 1 species
UACGUAGGGUGCAAGCGUUGUCCGGAAUUAUUGGGCGUAAAGAGCUCGUAGGCGGUCUGUCGCGUCUGCUGUGAAACUCGGGGCUUAACCCCGGGCCUGCAGUGGGUACGGGGCAGACUAGAGUGCGGUAGGGGAGACUGGAAUUCCUGGUGUAGCGGUGAAAUGCGCAGAUAUCAGGAGGAACACCGGUGGCGAAGGCGGGUCUCUGGGCCGUAACUGACGCUGAGGAGCGAAAGCAUGGGGAGCGAACAGG